UGCGUAACGUGUAUAGAAUCUACCUCUUACUAAGGGAUAGCCCAGAGAAAUUUGGAUUAAUAUCUUAUAGUAUGUUAACUUGGCAUCAAGAUAACAUUAAAGGUUACGGUAAGAGAUGACUAUGCGUCCUAUUAGCUAGAUGGUGUGGUAACGGCACACCAUGGCAACGAUAGGUAGGGGCCCUGAGAGGGGGAUCCCCCACACUGGUACUGAGACACGGACCAGACUCCUACGGGAGGCAGCAGUGAGGAAUAUUGGACAAUGGAGGCAACUCUGAUCCAGCCAUGCCGCGUGCAGGAAGACUGCCCUAUGGGUUGUAAACUGCUUUUAUACAGGAAGAAACACUCUCACGUGUGAGAGCUUGACGGUACUGUAAGAAUAAGGAUCGGCUAACUCCGUGCCAGCAGCCGCGGUAAUACGGAGGAUCCAAGCGUUAUCCGGAAUCAUUGGGUUUAAAGGGUCCGUAGGUGGAUAAUUAAGUCAGAGGUGAAAUCCUGCAGCUCAACUGUAGAAUUGCCUUUGAUACUGGUUGUCUUGAGUUAUUAUGAAGUAGUUAGAAUAUGUAGUGUAGCGGUGAAAUGCAUAGAUAUUACAUAGAAUACCAAUUGCGAAGGCAGAUUACUAAUAAUAUACUGACACUGAUGGACGAAAGCGUGGGGAGCGAACAGGAUUAGAUACCCUGGUAGUCCACGCCGUAAACGAUGGUCACUAGCUGUUCGAACUUAGGUUUGAGUGGCUAAGCGAAAGUGAUAAGUGACCCACCUGGGGAGUACGUUCGCAAGAAUGAAACUCAAAGGAAUUGACGGGGGCCCGCACAAGCGGUGGAGCAUGUGGUUUAAUUCGAUGAUACGCGAGGAACCUUACCAGGGCUUAAAUGUAAAUUGACAGGUUUAGAAAUAGACUUUUCUUCGGACAAUUUACAAGGUGCUGCAUGGUUGUCGUCAGCUCGUGCCGUGAGGUGUCAGGUUAAGUCCUAUAACGAGCGCAACCCCUGUUGUUAGUUGCCAGCGAGUCAUGUCGGGAACUCUAACAAGACUGCCAGUGCAAACUGUGAGGAAGGUGGGGAUGACGUCAAAUCAUCACGGCCCUUACGUCCUGGGCUACACACGUGCUACAAUGGUAGGGACAGAGAGCAGCCACUGGGUGACCAGGAGCGAAUCUAUAAACCCUAUCACAGUUCGGAUCGGAGUCUGCAACUCGACUCCGUGAAGCUGGAAUCUCUAGUAAUCGCAUAUCAUCCAUGAU
rnacentral:rRNA from 1 species